UCCUUGGUGGCUUAGUUAGUAAAGAAUCUGCCUGCAAUGCAGAAGACCCAGGUCUGACCCUGAAUAGGGAA
rnacentral:tRNA from 1 species